rnacentral:lncRNA from 1 species
ACUCAUUCUCCGUCCAGUUCUGUUCCCUUGCUGGCAAGGAGUUGUGUUCCUUUGGAGGAGAAGAGGUGUUUUGGUUUUUGGAAUUGUCAGGCUUUUUGUGCUGGUUGUUCCUCAUCUUUGUGGAUUUAUCUAUCUUUGGUCUUUGACGUUGGUGACCUUUGGAUGGGGUUUUUUGUGGACUUCCUUUUUUGUUGAUGUUGAUACUAUUCCUUUCUGUUUGUUAGUUUUCCUUCUAACCAUCAGCCCUUCUGCUGCAGGUCUACUGGAGUUUGCUGGAGGUCCAUUCCAGACCCUGUUUGCCUGCGUAUCACUAGAGGAGGCUGCAGAACAGUAAAGAUUGCUGCCUUCUCCUUCCUCUGGAAGCUGCAUCCUAGAGGGGCACCUGCCAGAGCCAGAGCUCUCCUGUGCUGCAGACCAGAGCUGUUUGUAUUCACCCAUCUUGCCAGCCACCCAACCAUGAUUUGCAGUAUAAAGGUGAGUGGCUCCAAAUGUCAGUGGUUGUCAGCUAGAUCUUCAGGUAAGCCUCCCCACGUACUGCCAAACUUGCUUACGGCCAGACUGUGGCCUUCAGAGAAAACAUCUCUUAAAGAAAGGGAGGAACUGAGAAAAAAAAAAGAGUACCUUUGCAUCCUGGUGAAUGUCUCAUGCAACCACUGUUCUCAGCAUUUUAUCUUUAUUAUAAGAACAGAGCUGGGGUAAGUAGCUGAGCAGUGAGCUAGUCCUUUAAGACAUAACAUAAAAUUGUCUCCACAAUGUGCUCUUCUAAAUAUAACUGCUCCUAUGUCCCAUUUGUGCAUUUUUAAAAGUCCAUUCCAGAGAAAAAUAUUCCAUAUGUUUGGAAAGAAUUUCAAAUUCUCCAGCUUCUCUGGGUAUUGCUACAGUUUGAUUUAUUGUGAAAACUCCAAGAUUUCCUGAAAAUGGUCUAGAACUGAGCCAGUGCUUUUUUACUUUUUACUUUUUUAUAAGGUGAUUUGAUCUUGCCUCAAAAUAUUCAAUUACUUUUUUAUUCUUUGUGGAAUUUACCAAAUAGUUUAUGAAUGGUCAAGACCCCUGGCUUCUCUGCAUUGUUCUAGCUUCUGAUCCAUUCAGGGAACAUGAGGAGAGCCCUUGGGGUAAUGUUGUGGGGCCAGGGCUAGAUUACUAUGUAAGUAUACUAGUUACCUACAAAAUGAGGACACCUCAAAAAAUAUCACUUUGAAAAAAAUAAUUUAAAAAUUGAUAUUUCAAAAGAAGUAAUAAGACAGUUAUCACAGUAGGAAAAAUAUUGGAGCAUUGUUCUGCUUCUUUACACUUAAUUAUGACUUAAUACUGUUUUUAUUUUUAAUUAUAUAUGGAGGUGGCAGCACUGUAAUUUUUUUAGUGCUUAGGUCUUCUAAAAUCUUAAGCCAAUCCUGAUGUGACUCUUACAUGUUCAUGAAGUGGCCCACAUAUGCCAGAUGCUUCUACAUUCUGAGCUUCAUGAGUACAGGAACCCUAUGCCCUACUGCCUUUCUAGCUUCAGUACCCAGAACAAUAUGGGGCACACAGCAAGUACACAAUAGAGACUGUUAUUAAGUCUCUAUGACAGCAAGUUGCUAUUUCUGUUAUUAACAAUUCCAGUGAAUGUUGCUAUUAAGUCAGCUCAGUUUAACUAAUGAAGCCACUAAAUGCCUUAGGUGCUAUAGCUCUUGCCCUUUAUCCAGUAGGGGAGAGAAAUAAAUGUGUUUGAAACAAUUAGCGCAGGCCAGGAACGGUGUUGGGUGCUUUACAUACAUCAAUUCUCUCUUUAAUCUUCUUAUCAAACCCUGAAGUCUGCAUCAGCUCCAUUUUACAUAGAAAGAACCUGAAGCUUAGACAGGUUAAGCAAUCUGACAAAAGUCAUUCAACAGUAAAUGAAAUAGUGGAGCAUCAGACCAAGGUCAGCCUGACCCCUAAACUACUGCUCUUCAUUACACAUGUUGCCAGACCACUUAAAGUUCAAUAGGCUGAUCACUGGUGUUCAAAAACUAAGAUAGAUGUGUGUUGAAAAUAGCCCAGCAAGUUACUAUCAAGUCAUGCUCAGCAUUAAAAAAAAAAAAAAUUAAGGAACCUGUAGUCAAGAUUGCAGAUGGGAGUGAAGUAGGGGGAAUUUCCUGACAGUUUUAGGUCACUAGGUAGCAAUUCCUGGGUCUACAAGUCUUAGAAAUCUCCUGGCCCUUAGGACUCUAAGCCCUUCAUUAUAGUUUUGAGAAGAUCUGGAUUUGGGAUAGAGCUAAGGGCAUAUGCCUAAGGGCAGUUUCAUAGGACUUGGAUUUUGCCCCACAUUUUCUGAGCUGUGAAGGUGGGGUGGGGUGAGGAAGUAGUGAGCCCCUAAGAAAUGGUACAACAAUGCUGACAAAGGAAAGCGAAAAGGGAGGAAAUAUUCCUCAUUCUCUUUUCUUGUACUUCAAACACUGGCUCAGUUCUAGACCAUUUUCAGGAAAUCCUGGAGUUUUCACAAUAAAUCAAACUGUAGCAAUACCCAGAGAAGCUGGAGAGCAAAGCCUACGGGUUGUAGGUGAGGAAGGAAGCUGAGAAGUGAAGUAGUCUCUCCUUUCUACCUGUUGGACAUCUAUAUUUCUAGGUGGCAUUAAACUAACAAACUCUUCUUCCUAACAAUAGAAAGACAAGAGUUUGAACUAGAAGAGGAGAAGGUAUUUGCUGCAUACAUGAAGAACUGUCUUAAAUGGAAGGCAGAGGCAUGGAUCCUGUGAAGUCUUUUGAAAUAGAAGCCAUAAUUACCAGUCCCAUUGGUAUGGGGUAGAGCUAAAGUGCAGGGAGGUGAACAGAGAGCCUUUCAAAUUUCUUCUAGCCAGAAAUUUCUAUAAUUAUAUGGUUCCUUUGGUGAAUUCUCCACUCCAUCUUACUCUUUUUCAGUCUACCUUUUCAUUGGCUCCGUUUGUAAUAGAAAAGCAAAAGUUAUUCCCCAGUUGUAUAAGGCCGAGUCCAGGUCGUACAGAAUAAUGAAAUGGGAAAGCUCAGAGACCCUAAUGUUAGACAAUGAAACAAGAAACUCACAGACCUCUGGACAUGCCAUGAAAUGGGAAAAUGUGCAUUUUACCUCCUCCACAGCACAUGGAAUUUUGAAGACCAAGGAGAGAUAGGAGAACGGGUCAUCAUAGGGGUUGAUGGGCCAGCUUUAUUCUAAAUGACUGAAGACUUCUGUUCUUUUCAACAAACACAGUCCUCCAAUUAGGAGCUGCAAAUAAGAUUAUAUGCCCUGAAUAAGUCUGAAAAGGUCCUUUUAUAAUUAGAAAGUUUGUGUGUGGGAAGUGGAAGCAGCAUGAAGUGCUCACUGUGGCUUUAUUAAAAGAGUGACAUGAAGAUUUUCCCAAAUCCUCAUCUGAGUGCUCGAAAAUGAUAAAAUAAAAAUUAUGAAAAACUGUAUGCAUAUUCCAUUUCUUCUUUUUCUUUCUGAAAGCUUUCACAUUUAUGCUAUAGAAACAAGUCAAUGGUUUUUUAAAAUUUUAUCAGGCAUAUUCGAAACAGACUGUCAUUUGAUAGUGUGCAGAUUGUUAAAAUACAAGUGAAAAUGAUUUCAAUGAAGGGAUGAAGUUUAAUACAGUGCAUACUUUAUAUUUUCAUUUUAACACUUUUAUGAUCGUCACUCCAUCACUACAGUGACAUAAUAUUUUGUUAAAUAUGGUUGGACUUAACUUAUAUUAAGCUUCCUGGUCUGUGGACACACAGGACUGAUUGUGCUCAGCUACUCUUCUAGACCAAUCAGACUUUAGUAUGUAAAUGGACAUUUCCUGGAUGAACCAAUGACCGUCCCCCACGCCCCCCCGCCCUCCCCCCCCCCCCCCCACACACAUUGCACUCGGGACCCAGUUGCAUACAGCCCUUACAGCUUCACAGAAGGAAGAUGCCUGCUGGACACAGCUUCCUAUGAGCUAAGACGGGAAGUCAAGGCUGGCAGGAAAGAGGAAGAGCUGAGAGGCUAGAUAAUAAUAGGAAAAUAACAGUUCCAGGCACUGUGGACAGAACCACAGCCAAUCUGCGGCUCAGCCACUUCCACAAAUAUAUUUUGAGUGCUUACAAUGUGCCAGACACUGUCCGGGGGCUGGAGAUACAGCAGUGGACAGAGACAGAUAUCCCUGUCCUCAGAGAGCUGACAUUCUAGACUUUCUGAACUAAUGUGACUCCAGUGGAUUGUUAUUUUUUGUAGUUUAAGUUAUGAAAAAAUUAUUAUUCGGAGAUAAAAUUAUUUAACAAUAUUGAAUGUGCUCUUUCCAGCUGCAUUCUCACUACCCCACUCCUAUCCCAUCCAGAAAUUUAGACACACUCCUCCCUGUAGGGAUCACCAUGCCACACAGACUAUAAAUGUGUUCAGCUGCUGGGCUGUUCUACUGAGAGGACUUUUAUGUCUAGAUGGAACCAUAGGCUUUACAUCAUAGCAAGGUGUAAUUUUGACAAAUGGUUCUAAGUCCUGGUUGCACAAUAGAGUCAUCUGGGGAAGCUUUAUAAAAACACCUAAUGCCUAUGAUCCCUUGAAUAUCACACCGACAGCACAGGAAACAGAAGCAAAAGUAGACAAAUGGGGCUGCAUUGAACUAAAAAGUUUCUGCACAGCAAAGGAAACAAUCAGCAGAGUGAAAAGGCAACCUGUGGAAUAGGAGAGAAUAUUUGCAAACCAUAUAUCUGAUAAAGGGUUAGUAUGGAAAAUAUGUAAGAAACUCAUACAAUUUAAUAGCAAAAAAAUCAAUAGCCUAAUUUAAAAAUGGGAAAAUGACUUGAAUAGACAUUUCUCCAAAGAAAAUAUACAAAUGGUCAACAGGUGUAUGAAAAGAUGCUCAACAUCAGUAAUCAUCAAAGAAAUGUAAAUCAAAACCACAAUAAAAUACCAUCUGACACCGGUGUGGACAGCCACUAUUAAAAGAAAAAAAAGGAAAAGAAGAAACAGAAGGAAAGAAAAGAAUAAAUGUUGGUUAGGAAAUGGAGAAACUGGAACCCUUGUACGCUGUUGGUGGGGAAAAAAGAUAGAGCAGCUGCUAUGAAAAACGGUAUGGAGAUUCCUCAAAAAAUUAAAAAUAGAGCUACCAUAUGAUCCAGCAUUCCCAUGUCUGGGUAUUUAUGCAAAAGAACUGAAAUCAGGAUCUUGAAGAGAUAUUUGUCCUCCAUGUUUCUUGCAACACUACUCACAAUAGCUAAGAGGUAGAAACAACCUAAAGGCCCACCAACUGAUGAAUGGAUAAAGAAAAUGUGGUGGGUGCAUCCAGUGGAAUAUUAUUCAGCUUUAAAACAGAAGGAAAUCCUGACACAUGCUACAACACAGAAGAACUUGAGGACAUUAUGAUAUGUGAAAUAGGCCAGUCACAGAAAGACAAAUACUGUAUGAUUCCACGUGUAUGAGGUAUCUACUAAAGCAGUCAAACUCAUGGAAGGAGAAAUGUGAAUGGUGAUACCAAGGACUAGUGAGGGAGAGAAAUGGGGAGCUGCUGUUCAAUGAUUAUAGACUUUCAGUCAUGCAAGAUGAAAAAUUUCUAGAGAUUUGCACAACAGAUAUGUAUAACAAUGGGCAUGUAGUUAACAAUACUGUACUGUACACUUAAAAAUUUGUUGAGAGGGUAUAUUUCAUGUAUGUUGUUGGGUUUUUUUUUACCAUAAUAAAAACAAAAAUGCAAACAAAAAACACCUAAUGCCUGGCUCCGCUCUAACCAAUUAAAUCAGAAUUUCUGGGGGUUGGGUGUUGGGCAUCCCUUUGUUGUUUUUGAUGAUGUUGUUUUUCCUCUUUUAGCUGUGCACAUUAGAGAGCUUCAUGCUAAAAAGUCUCCAUAAAACAUUAUCAUCUUCUUCUUCUUUUUUUUUUUUUUUUCUUGAGACAGGGUCUCACUCUGUCACCCAGGCUGGACUGCAGGGACCCAUUUUGGCUCACUGCGGCCUCAACCUCCUGGACUCAAGCAAUCCUCCCACCUCAGCCUCCCAAGCAGCUGGGACCACAGGCGUGCGCCACAAUGCCUGGCUAAAAUAGUUUUGUUUUUUUGUUUGUAGAUAUGGGGUUUCUCCAUGUUUCCCAGGCUGGUCUCGAACUCCUGAGCUCAAGCAAUAUGCCGAUGUCAGCCUCCCAAAGUUCUGGAUUACAGGCAUGAGCCACUAUCUUCUUUUUUUAAAAUAUCCAUCCCUCAUCUCAUAUUUGCUCUCUAACAAUAACCGUAAUACUUAAUAAUAUCUGUUUUAAUCAAUGGCACCAUUGUCCUUCAAGUUACCUGCCUGGAAAUGUGAAUGUCAUACUAAAUUCACUCCAACUGCCAGUCAUCAAUAGUGUUAAUUCUACAUCUUAAAGAUCUAUCCAUCCCCACCACUCCAACCACAUCUUUAGGAUGGGUUUUUCUCACUUCUAAAAUUGAUAUCUAGUUAUGUUGCUCCACCUUUGAAAAUUUUCACCAAAUAGCCUAACUUUCAGAAUGAACUUUAAACUAAAGCUAAUAUGCCUCUUUUGCCUACUCUAUCCACUGAAAUAGAAGGAAGGAGGGUCAACUGAAAAGAGGUAAGCUUUACAUAGUAUAUUUUAUAUGCCUAUCAUUCAUAUUUCUUUCUGAGUACUAAUAAAAUUAGGGUUUGGGUUUUGACUGGACCUUGCUAUUCUAAACGUUGCAAUUGAUUUCUAUAUGGCUAUGCAUGUCCUGCCCAAGUCUACAUGAUCUUACCCUUGCCAACUGCUCAGCCUCAUCUUCACAUGCAAGCAAUGCUCCAUCAUUUCCAGUCUCCUCUCAACUCCUCAGAAGAGCCAUCUCUCUGCCAUUUGAACAUUGGCACAGGUUACCCAAAAAGAGAUGCUCUAGAGGAAAUGGCACAAAGCCAUAGAAUUUUAAUUGCAGUUUGUAAUUACAAAUGUGAGUAAGUCAAAGUUUGCAAAAUCUGUAAAACUGAGAAAUUACUAUGAAUUUUGCAACAAUGACAAGAAUAGUUGUGAGUAGGUCCACACAAACAGAUGAGUUAUAUAAAUACAGGAAGCAACUUUUCUCACCCAUCCCCAACCACUACAACCAAAGCCAAAAUAUACCUGUUGGCUACCACCCACUAAAAUAUGAGCGGGAGAGGUCAAAUGAGAAGAGGUGAGAUUUAUAUAGCAUAUUUUGUAUCCUUAUAAUUAAUAUUUCUUUCUGAGUACUAACGAAAUUGGAAUUUGAGUUUUAAGUGGGCCUUGCUGUUCUAAACGGUGCAAUUGAUUUGGAUAUUGCUAUUGAUUUGCUUUUUAGGCUAUUAUCUACUUGACAACCAGGAAGAAUGAUCUUCUUUGGAUCUGACCUGCCAGAUUUGAUUCCCAAGGAAUGAUGAACAUCCAUUAGAGGGUCCAUAUAUAUUAAUGAGCAAGAGGGUGUUGAACUGCAUACUCUGUAUGAUCAUCCCCAGGAAAAUGCAGUUUCGAGAGGUGAAGGAUGUCGUUUACAUUUCUGGCAUCACAUUUGUAUCAUGCAUGUUACUUCCUAACAAUGCGACAUUACACCUAAACAGACAUGGAAAGAAGGACCAUCUAUGGAGCAGAAUCAGUCUCCUGACUCCAAAGGAUAUGAGAGAGGGUGUAGAAUGGUAGGGAAAGGCUGGAUAGACCCGGGUUGGAACCCUGCCUCUGUAUCUUAUUUUCCAAGUGUCCUUGACCUUGGUAUGUUACAUAAACUUAGCAAGUCCAAGUUUCCUGUUUAUGACAAAUUACAUCAAUAAUAUUUAGUCCAUAGGGUUGUUGUGAAGAACUCAAAAAGAUUGUUUAUUAAAUUCUUGCCUGACAUCUAAUAAAGGUUCAGGGCCGGGUACAGUGUAUGUUUCGGGAGGCUGAGGCAAGAGGAUCCCUUGAGGCCAGGAGUUCAAGACCAGCCUGGGCAAUAUAGUGAAAUCCUGUCUCUACAAAAAACUAAAAGAUUAGCUAACCAUGAUGGUGUGCGCCUAUAGUCCUAGCUACUCAAGAGGCUAAAGUAGGAGGAUCAUUUGAGCCCAGAAGUUCAAGGUUACAGCGAGCUAUAAUUGCAUCACUGCACUCCAGCCUGAGCAACACAGCAAGACCCUGUCGCCCAAAUAAUGAUAAUAAUAAUAAUGGCUUAAUGAUGGGAGCCCAUGUACUAUUAUUGUCCUUCUUCAAAUGGAUGGGGGAAAAUUAAUAAAGACUACCACUCACUGAGCAUCGACUAUAUACCUUGUAUAUACCUGCCUCUAAUUCUUAAAACCAUGCUGACAGAGCAGUAUCAUUAUUCCCAUUUUACAGACAAGCCACACAAUCACCAUGCGGUAGAGUUAAGGUUCAAUUCAGGUUUGUUUCCCUUGAAAGCCUAGGUCCUUUGUACUAUCCUGCACUGCCUCCUCACCUAAAAACCCAAUUCAACUAGUCAUAUGAAUGCUGGCAAUUUUCAAUAUGGAAUUUCUCUUGAAGAAGCUUGUUCUGACUGCCAGCCUCCUGAAAGACAAUUUUCACAAUGUUAUCAUAAUUGAUCGUGAACCGGGGACACUAUCUCGGCAUCUCACUAAUGACAUUCAUAAACCUUAGUCUUGUCCGGGUUAUUCCACACACCUGGUUUUGAGUGGCACACAGGUGUGAAACCCUCUGAUUCAGAAACUAAUAUCACCUAACGGUUCUAGCAAAAAGUUUGAUCUCUAAGUCAAUAUUUGCCAGUGUAGAGCCAGCAUGCUAUCUCCAGUGGAGUUGUUUGCUAUCCUUUCUGGUGCUCUCCUUUCUUAGUUUAGUCUCUGGUGUGAGCUCUUGGCAGCAUGAGUAUUACAUGAGUAAUGAAGAACACAUCAUAGUUACACAUCAGCCAAACUACCCACUCCUAGCUCCCAUAUGUAGCCUGACAUUUUACCCUUGUACUGUACUCUGGGAAGUUCAAAAGUGCUUGGUAAAAGACUCAGCAGAGGCAAUUAUGUGUAAGUUACUCCAACUGCCAUCUCCAGGAUGAACAUUUCUGAAAUUGUCUUAGUAUAUGAGGUUAGAAUGGUCAAGAAAUCACUUAACUUUUAUGAGUCAAGUCAUCUCCUGUGUUAAAUGAAGGACUUGGAUUAUGUUGGGUUCUUUCCAGCUCUACUAUAUUUUAGUUACAUUUUUCUACAUGAUCACACAACCCUCUGGUCUCCUCAAAAGUAGAAGAUAAUAUUGGAAUACAUGAUAAUAAAUUAUACCUAUUAUAUUAGGUUUCUCUAGAAGGACAGAACUAAUUGGAGAUAUAUAUAUAUAUGUGUGUAUGUGUAUAUAUAUGUACAUAUAUAUAAAGGGGAGUUUAUUAAGUAUUAACUCACAUGAUCACAAGGUCCCACAACAGGUCAACUGCAAGCUGAGGAGCAAGGAGAAUGAGUCUGAGUCCCAAAAUUGAAGAACGCAGAGUCUGAUGUUUGAGGGCAGGAAGCAUCCAGCAUGGGAGAAAGAUGUAGGCUGGGAGGCUAGGCCAGUCUAGUCUUUUUAUGUUUUUCUGCUUGCUUUAUAUUCUGGCUGUUCUGGCAGCUGACUAGAUGGAGCCCACCCAGAUUAAGGGUGGAUCUGCCUUUCCCAGCCCACUGACUCAAAUAUUAGCACCCUCACAGACACACCCAAGAUCAAUACUUUGCAUCCUUCAAUCCAAUCAACUUGACACUCAGUAUUAACCAUCACACCUAUAUUCAGGAAAUAUUUAUAUUGAUUAUUUUUAAAUCCUGUAUGAAUUUUAUGAGGUUGAAUAGAUUACAGGCACUUAGAGUAAAAAUAAUCUAACCCUAAACAAAAAUGUGUAUGAUACAUGUGUGUACCACUCAGUGAUUAUAAUUAUUGGUGAUAAUGUGAUAAUGGAUCACUAAAUAGUGACCUCAUUAUGAGUGCCACUUUAUUUCAUAAAAAUAAUAAAUGUAUAACAACAUAAAAAAUGACAACUAACAUAUUUUAAAAAUACUUAAGUGCACCAUGACGGCAAAAAUGUUCUUUUAAAUUUCAUUUUCCUAUAACUUACAUGAUUUCAAGGUUGAUUUAAAAAACACCCUUAAUAAAACAAAUCUUAUUUUAAAUUCGUUCAGAAAUGUUUUGCUUUUCUAACUAAAAUUGAUUGUCUUAAACUUUCCUACUAAUCAUUUCUCAAGAAAAGACUUAUGUGAAACAUUCAUUAAAAUAGAUUUGCAGUCGCAUUUUGUGAGGCAGGGGAUUGAAGUAAGCAUACUUAAUCUACUAUUUUGAUGGAAUCCAAAGGAUUUUGUUAAACGCUGAAGUACUUUGAACCCAAGUAUUUAAGCUUCGAAUCAAGCUUUAAGCACUAGGGGAAAUGUAAGUCAAAUUUUGAUUCAAGUCAACCUUAGAUCCUUAGCUGAAAAAGUACUUGUGUUCUUAAAAAUAUAUAUCAGAUCUGAUUCUUGAAUGUAUUUUUGUGUGCACACAAACACAUGUACUGUCUUCUGCGAAUUCUGUCAAACCAACUGAUCGUUCAUUUUGAGACAUUAAAAAAAUCAUUGUUUCUAUCUUUAUUUAAUGAAUACUUUUCAUUCAAUAUUUACUUGUGCCAAAUGCAAACCCCAGAACAGCUCAAAGUAAAAGCACCAGAAGACAUAAACAACAACCAAGCUAUCAAGGAAUCAGAUAAAUUUUAAGGGGAGGAAGAAGCUCCAUUGGGCUUUUGAAAUGAAGUCAUCAUAGAGCCAAAACACUGACCUCUUCUCUGGUGUCACAGAGACAAACACAUCAACCAAUUGCAGACUAGGUCCUCUUAGUUUAGGAUUGAGUCUUAUUUGUUUGUAUCUCUCCAGCACCCAAAAUACUGACCAAUACAUAGCAGGUGUCCCCCCAGAUGUCCUUUCUUUCGGGAUCAUAAACGUGACAUUGAAAUAUACCUGAGACAUACAUGAAGUUAUUGCUUACUAGCCCCAUUAUCAAUAAGACUCAGGGUAUUUGGGGCUAUUUCUGAUUCAUAAAUUAUCAGGUCUCUCUGAUGGAGGUUGCUGGCACCAAGGGGGGGCUUUCAAGGAUUUUGCCCUAUGUUCCAUUUCUCUCCUAUC